UACGAAGGGGGCUAGCGUUGCUCGGAAUCACUGGGCGUAAAGGGUGCGUAGGCGGGUCUUUAAGUCAGGGGUGAAAUCCUGGAGCUCAACUCCAGAACUGCCUUUGAUACUGAAGAUCUUGAGUUCGGGAGAGGUGAGCGGAACUGCGAGUGUAGAGGUGAAAUUCGUAGAUAUCGGGAGGAACACCAGUGGCGAAGGCGGCGACCUGGACGGACACUGACGCUGAGACGCGAAAGCGUGGGGAGCAAACAGG
rnacentral:rRNA from 1 species